rnacentral:lncRNA from 1 species
CUGAACUGAGUCCAUGCCAGGGAGCAUUAUUGGAAAAUGGCCCACUCCAGCUACUUCCUGGAAUUCCUCUUCGUGCUUCAGCAGCUAGCUUGGUAUGCACUGGGCACCAAACAGAGGCACAGCAUCUUACAGAGCAUGGGGAAACUCAUUCCAGGAUGACACAGUUUGUGAUUUGUGACUUGAGCCUUGAAACAGACAGAAGACAACAGCUCACGUUACCCAAAUCAUGAGAUAAGCCUUGAAGAUCCCAUAUGAAGAUGAAAAAAUCCUAACUCACUUC